rnacentral:tRNA from 1 species
UGUUUUUGUAGUUGAUGUACAACGGUGGUUUUUCGGGCCAUAGGACUCAAGAGAGCGAAAACU